rnacentral:rRNA from 1 species
UACGUAUGGGGCGAGCGUUGUUCGGAGUUAUUGGGCGUAAAGGGCGUGUAGGCGGCUCAUCAAGUCUGGUGUGAAAUCGCAGGGCUCAACCCUGCAUAUGCGCUGGAAACUGGUGGGCUUGAGUUCUGGAGGGGAAGCUGGAAUUCCAGGUGUAGGGGUGAAAUCUGUAGAUAUCUGGAAGAACACCGGUGGCGAAGGCGAGCUUCUAUCCGCGGACUGACGCUGAGGCGCGAAAGCGUGGGAGC